rnacentral:rRNA from 1 species
UUGUAAAGCUCUGUUGUCAGGGACGAAACUGACGGGGCCAAUAUCCCCGGCUACUGACGGUACCUGAACAAUAAGCGCGGCUAACUACGUGCCAGCAGCCGCGGUAAUACGUAUGGUGCAAGCGUUAAUCGGAAUUACUGGGCGUAAAGCGUGCGCAGGCCGUUUUGUAAGUCUGACGUGAAAUCCCCGGGCUGAACCUGGGAAUUGCAUUGGAGACUGCUAGGCUUGAUUCUGGAACAGGGGGGUGGAAUUCCAUGUGUAACAAUGAAAUGCGUAAAGAUGUGGAUGAACACCGAUAGUGAAGGCGGCCCCCUGGGUCAUGACUGACGCUCAUGCUCAAAUGCGUGGGGAGCAAACAGGAUUAAAUACCCUGGUAAUCCACGCCCUAAACGAUGUCUAC